GGCCGCGGGAAUUCGAUUCAGGCCUAACACAUGCAAGUCGAGCGGAAACGAUGAUAGCUUGCUAUCAGGCGUAAAGCGGCGGACGGGUGAGUAAUACUUAGGAAUCUACCUAGUAGUGGGGGAUAGCUCGGGGAAACUCGAAUUAAUACCGCAUACGACCUACGGGAGAAAGGGGGCAACUUGUUGCUCUCGCUAUUAGAUGAGCCUAAGUCGGAUUAGCUAGAUGGUGGGGUAAAGGCCUACCAUGGCGACGAUCUGUAGCUGGUCUGAGAGGAUGAUCAGCCACACCGGGACUGAGACACGGCCCGGACUCCUACGGGAGGCAGCAGUGGGGAAUAUUGGACAAUGGGGGCAACCCUGAUCCAUCAAGGCCGCGUGUGUGAAGAAGGCCUUUUGGUU
rnacentral:rRNA from 1 species